UAAUUCGGCCAUGGCAUUUACCACAUUUUCAGUGAAAUAAUAUAACUAUCAUAAAUGUUUUCCUUUCAAAAAGACUCUUUAAAGUUUAGUUUUUUCCCGUUUUGUGUUGUUAUAUACGCGUACAAAUAAUUGCUAUACUAUUAUCGCUCGGGCCCUCACAAACCAUCAAUGUACGUGUAGUGUAAGGUCCGGAGGCUGACCACAUGUGUGUCAGUGAUAUGUCGGUCAGAUGGUUAUAUAAGCUUCGGCCGCAAAUUCCCGCUCGUAAAAUUUCUUUGUCUACCCACUCCAUCUUUAACUGAGCAGUACACAGUGGACUCACGUCAUUAAAAGAACUCGAUUUCAAUUUUUGGUGUAUAAGAAAGAUGUUUGCGGUGGUCGAAUUUACCAAAACUAAUGAAGUUGAGGUCGUACCAGCCUUGUGGAUUUUAAAAGGAAAUAAAGAGUGUGUAUGGCCACCUAACAAAUCACCAAGUGGAGUUAAAAGAGCUGUAGAAAAAAAAAGAAAUCCCAGACCCCAGUUGGGAAAAACAUACUAUUCGUAUUCUAAAGGAAACGGAAACCUAUCACAAGGCCAGGAAAAAGUUAUCUAAGGCGACGAUAUCCUCUGAUCUCAAUACAACAGAUGACGAGGCAUCACUGAUGAAGAGAAGUGGAUGAAACAUGCUUCAUCAUGGAGGACACACCAGCGACAACAAAAUAAAGAGAAUCAUGGAGGCUACCUUGACCGAUGGGUUAGCAAUUUGAUUUAACUGGGCCGGUCGGGGACAGAAACGGGCAUUUUCGAGGACCAACCUAGCAAAAUCGGUCUUAGGUGCAGCCAAAAAAGUGGGGCUACCCCACGCUGAAGCUGAACAGAAAAUUAAAAACUGGCUGAAAUACAGCAAUCAUCGGCUAAACGGGCGGAAAACAUCGACCAAGGACACAACACAAGAGGAAAUCCACGAUAGUGUGACAAGCAGCGAAGACGAAUCUGUGUGAGACGAGGAAAAUACUGGAUAUCAAAUAAUAAAUAAAGUGUUGUCACUAAAAUAUAUAGCAGGUCAUGUUUUGUAUAAAAGGGUACAUUGGUGUACACUGGAAAACGUAGCACAGCGUGAAAAAUACGUGAAGUGAAAUACAACGUGGCGAUCUAUUCAUUUUACCAGAAUUGAAGAAAGAUUUCAUUUCGUUACGAAAUUUUCUGUAUGAAGUCUAAUUUCAACUAAAUGACGUUUAUGCAAUGUUGCCGAAACGUCGAAUAAAUGUCAGAUAAACGUUGCAGACAAGUUACAUUAAUGUUUCAUGGUAAUUACAAAACGUUGCCUAAACGUUAAACUACGUUACGAAAUAAUAAGUGAAACGUCUAUUUUAACUUAAGUACGUUUAUGCAACGUUGCAGAUACGUGGAAUAUAUGGUAGAUAAACGUUGCGGAAAGGUUAUAUUAACGUUACAUCAAUGUUGCAGAAACGUUAUGUUAACGUUACAUUAAUGUUACAAAACGUUGUAGAAACGUUAUUGAAGAAUAAUAACGUUGCUUAAUCGUUUAAGAAACGUCGACUGCACAUUCAUUCACGUUUGUGCAACGUUCCAAUCACGGAAAAAUUACGUGUAUAUAACGUGGGGAUAACGUUUUAUUAACGUGUUUGUGUAACGUUAGGACGACGUCUUUCCAAUGGACAAACUUAUGUGAAUCAAACGUUUGUAUUAAACGUUUGUGCAACGAUUCGUGGUACGUUUAAGAAACGUUUUUUCAACGUAUGUCUGCCAGCUGGGUUGGACCUCUUUGAAAUUGCUAAAUUCAGAUUGUUCAGCUUGUUUUAUGAAUUGCACGAACUUGACCAGAUUUAUAUUGCUACACGUAUCAAUAUACGUCUUAUUUCACACUGUUUCAUUACAGUAUCACCAAAGCAGCUGAAAUAUUGUAGAUCUGUAUUCAAAAAAGUAUUCUAAAAUAUUCUAUGAAAUAAACAUUCAAUAAAGGACUUGAAUGGAAUACAGAAGUUGCGGUAUCUCGUCAUCAAUGGUGGACUUGUUCCAGAUUAAAACAAACCAUUUAGUUUGAAAUAUAUAAGCAUUUCAUCAUGCUUUUGUUAAUUUGAUAUGGUGAAGAAUUGAAUCAUAAUUCGUUUGUCUCAUAACCAACUUAAAUCAGCACCAAGUGAAAUCGACAACAGCAGGAUGUGUUCCUUAACUACAGUACGUUGUGUGUUUGAGUCAAAAUGACAAAAGAUACACAAACAAAAGAAGUAAUUUUUUGUACAUAUUUUUUGAAGACAUGGUCAUUAUCUUUUAGAUUGAAAAACAAAAUGUGUACUGAUGUUUUUGAGUUCCUUUUGUUUUAGUGUACCUGCUCGGCCUGCUUGCUGUCCCGUUUGUUGUACUUGCAAUCGGAAUAGUUUACAUAAGGAAAAGAAAAAGUAAGAGCAGUUCUGAUACAAACAAUUUAACUCCCAACAACCACAACAGACAAAGUCAAAACGGUUACACGAGCGAUCCGACCACGCAAUGCUCCCAAGACUCUCCUGAUGGGCCGAUUGAGAAUGAGUAUCUAGAAUUAUCGGAUGACUUAAAACGGCCAGACGAUGGUGACUAUCUACAUCCGGUAGGGAGGUUAGCCGAGGCCAAUCACUAUACAAACACAACACACGAAGUGUAUGAUGAGAGUAAUAUCGACAAAAUGGACGAUGACGGGUACAUCAGCGCUGUCGGUGUCGCUGGUGACAAAAAAACGAGGCCUCAUAAUACUGAUGAACAUCGUGCACUUCCGCCCCUACCGGAUAUGAAUACUAAUAAAGGAAUAACUUCAGAAUCACAACCGGAAGUUGAUUACCCGGAUGAUGGGAACGAGGACUAUCUCCAUCCGGUGUCUGGUAAGGCAUUAAGCAUGCCUACUUCUGAUGAUAAUGACGAUGAUUAUUUGAAGCCGACCAGAUCUGUUGCGAUACCUUCACGUUUAUUUUCUGAAGCAGAACCUAAUAAGCAACUACAGUUCAAUUACCAUGACAAUAGUGACAAUUUAAAGCGUGAAAGUUCAACUGCAAUAUAACAAGGCACUUGUCUGCAAAUAUCAUAUGGAGUGCGCGUGAUCUUAAGUAAAACAAAAGGGAAAUACCUGUUACUUGUUACCUCCUCAUCGACACUGCUGUUAGUUUUAAGUAGCUAAUAGAGGCGCAUCUUUGAAUUCGUCAUCGCGUACGGCAAAUUCGAUAUACCGCCGCCAUGAGAUGAUUAUCUUGUGAUUGAUAUUUUCGUUUGUACAGUAGUCGGACAUAUCUUCAGAACGCAGCCAUUUGGUAAGAAUGUAAUAUCCCCUAUAUAUUGGUAAGGAAUUCCUAAGGUAUUUUGUAUGAGGUAACUUACUAAUACAUUGCUAAGUGUUAUGUUGAUAUUGUCAUUAUAUCUGUGUUUUGAUUAGUCUAUCACGAUCACAUGUUAUUUAAUCAUUUAAUUGUUAAUUAAUUAUCGCAAGCCGAAGAGUCAGAUACAUUGGUUCUCUACCAUAAGGCUCCUCUAAGAGGUGGAUACUUGGGAUUGUAAAACCAAGUGCUUUGAUGUCUUAUUAUUGUUCCCUGCCUAUCACAUUUUAGUUUCCAAUCAUAUCACUCAGAUUUUGUGACGUCAGUUUUGUAUUUUCACGUAACUUCCUGUCUACACUAGGGGUUGACCGGGCAUGUAUCUACCAUUCAAUGUUUGGUCCCAGUAAAUGAUUUCUCUGUCAAUCACUACAUUUAGGUAAUUUUUUUUUUUUUUCGAUUUGCUGUCUUUGUUUCUGAGCUUGCUGUUUUUAAACUGUUCAUCUUCUUUUGUAUCUUUAAUAACUUAAAUGGAUGAAACACUUUAAUUAUAGGUAAUGUAUAUAAUGGGGUUAUGAAUAUAUAUACAUGUACGGUUCCAAAACAGCCUGAACUUAUCAGUAUCGUGGAUGUGAUCAAGGCGAAGCCCAUGCAGUAAUAUACAUAGCUCAUAACGGUUUCGUCUGUUAAUGUACCUGUAUAAAAUAUAUUGCAUAUAUAUCUAUAUAAAUAUAACUUUAUUAGCAAACCGAGACAAUUAUAAACGACUGAUCAUGAGUGAGCUUCCAUGUUUAAUAAUAAAUCACAAAGCAAGAACAUUGUAACUUAGUGAGCGAGGUUCCAUGUUAAGCAAUUCAUUAAAAGAGAGUACUACAGCUUACUGAGUGAGGUUCCAUGUCUUGGCGAUUCACACAGCGAGAGAAGUAACCGAGCGAUUGGACUCGAUGGUACGAGGGGUGAUUGAUAUAUUGUAAGUCUCGUAUUGAAGGAGGUAAUCAAGAAGGUUCUUUUUAAGCCUACUAGUCUCUGACUAUAUAGCAAUAGCAGUUAACGGCCUUUUAUAAGCGUAUAUUCGCUUCUUGGUCCCCUGUUUAAGGUCAAUGUAGGGUCGUGUACCCAAGGACUGAUCUCAUUUAAUUAGUUUAUAUCGACGAGGUAGCACUCUAAAGUAAACAAGACAAGCGGCUUUUACAAAAUGGACAAAAUCGGAGAAGAGCAUACUAUGGUUUACUUCUGAGGCAGUUACGGGAAAUAUUAAACUGAAGCGCCACGGAAAUCUCACUGAAUGUGUGUUAUUCCAUCAGGACAAUGCUCAUGCUCACAAGUCUGUCAUUGCCAUGGCUACCAUUCACGAUUGUGGCUUUAAAUUGAUUGAGCAUCCGCUUUAUUCACCUGAUCUCGCCCAUCAACCUUUCAUCUAUUUCCAAAACUGAAAGCAGCUAUUUCAGGCACAUACAUGCAUGCAGUGGAUGACUUUAUAAACAGCCGAGAAAAGGAGUUCUAUAAAAGUGGCAUUGAGGCCCUUAAACACCGCUGACAAAAGUUUAUAGAUACUGAAGGGGAUAAUGUUGGAAAAUAAUACUAUGUCAAGCGAACUUCAAAACCUUCAAUAUGAAGCUCACAACAUAUCAAUCAGCGAUAUAUAUUUUUUAAACUGAUCGAACCAUAUCGAUGAAGAAUAAAAAUGCAUACAUGUAAUUCUGUGUUUGUUUCUUUACAAAAAGAUUAACUUUUCAUAUUAAAAUAUCAAUACUUGCCUAUGUACAUAAUGUUACUUCUAUGUACAGAAUGUUACUUAAACACAUCGUGUAAGCAGAAGAUAAUGUAAAGUCACGCCGAUGUUUAACAUCUAUAUAUGUUUUGAUAUUGGUUGUAAAUAUUUGAAACAUUUAUAUUGCAUUUUU